CCUACGGGUGGCAGCAGUGAGGAAUAUUGGUCAAUGGGCGGAAGCCUGAACCAGCCAAGUAGCGUGCGGGCUGAAGGCCCUACGGGUCGUAAACCGCUUUUGCACGGGGAUAACACCCUCCACUUGUGGAGGUCUGCAGGUCACGUGCGAAUAAGGGCCGGCUAAUUCCGUGCCAGCAGCCGCGGUAAUACGGAGGGCUCGAGCGGUAUCCGGAUUCCUUGGGCUUAGAGGGCGCGUAGGCGGACGCUUAAGUCAGCGGUAAAGUUGCGGGGCUCAACCUCGUCGCACCGUUGAAACUGGGGGCGUUGAGUGGGCGAGAAGUACGCGGAAUGCGUGGUGGAGCGGUGAAAUACAUAGAUAGCACGCAGAACUCCGAUUGCGAAGGCAGAGUACCGGCGCCCAACUGACGCUGAAGCAAGAAGGCGUGGGUAUCGAACAGGAUUAGAGACCCGAGUAGUC
rnacentral:rRNA from 1 species